GGUUCAUGAUUCAUGUAGGCAAAGGACCUGCUGAGGGGAAUGAGCACCAGACAGAUGCUGCUGCUGCCCUGUAGGACCUCUGCUCAGGGGGCAAGGAGUGCUCGUACAGUCAUGCCUGUCAGCUAGGAGGAAGUAAACACCCUCUGGGAAACAGUUGGGAGCAGAUUUUAAGCCUCUUUGCCAACGGCAUGGCCGUGUGACUGCUCCAUAUCCUCAUUGUUGCGAGAUUCUGCAAGCAAAGCUCCAAGGUGAGAAACACCAUGUCCUGAUGGUGGCUGGUGGCCAGAGAUAUGCAUCCCUUGGGAAGGCAGCUAGGAUCAGCAGCUAGGAUCACCCAACAAGUGUGGUGACACACAAAAAGGGAGAACUCCAAAUAUGAAAAGCAAAUAUUCGUUUAACAUAGUUAUCUAGGGUCCUGAAGACAGCUGGAAUAGUGUGAGCCACUAAUUUAGCUGUGAGGCUUAUCCUCUUGAAAGUUGUUUCAAGGAUUUCUUCUUGAGCAGAUACAAUAAAAAGCUUUUAAUAUGCCCAGACUGGUUUUGCUGCAGUGCCUCCUACCUCCAUUUGUCUUUUACUAUCAGCAGCCUUCAAGCACUUAAUUCUACUCAGACAUCUUAUUUCUUUAACAAAAAUAUACAAGUAUACAUCUCAUUUACAUCUGAGGAACAAACCUUCCUCAACUGUCAACAAAGAAAUUAUGAUAACCUAAAGACAGUAUAGAUUGCAUCAUUUUCUUUAUUGGAAUUCAAGUGAAAAAUUAAAUUCU